rnacentral:lncRNA from 1 species
AAUUGGAAUAUUUUUUCUUUUCUAUAUCUCUUUUUGUCGAAACUCGCAAGUAGCCAAAUGUUAUUUCUCAUGCACCUAAAUUUUGAGAAAAAGACUCCUAACUCCCCUUCAUAUUUCACUUGCCGUCGUACUUGAACUAAGUUGUACUAUAUGUUAUAGAUAUAAAUAUCGUUGUAAUAAAAGUUGUACUUCAUAUUUCGCUCAU